GCACUGCUGUGGAGUCCCACAAUAGGACGAAACGGCCGUCCAGUGC
rfam:Schistosoma haematobium scaffold3_2, whole genome shotgun sequence.